rnacentral:misc_RNA from 1 species
UGACCCUUCUGCAGAUGGAUGCUAAACUACCAAUGGAUAUUUUUGAAAAUGUCAUGCAAUUAGCAGUUGAAGGCUGCAAAGCAGUAGAAAGCCACAUCCGAGAAAUAUUGUUAGAAAAUGCUCAGACAUUGGUCAUUCGCCAAGGGUAUGGCUCUUAACAGGCCGAGGAAUUUUUAUUGAGUCUUUGCAAUACCUGAAGGAAAAAAGGAGUCCUGGAUUUGCUGCUGCAAUUUUUUUUUAAAACAAUGGUUGAUCAAAAUGUAUUAAGAGUACUAUUCAGCCAGAGCUUGUGGAAAAAUGAUUUCUCCUAAUGUAUUCUUCACUUUGCCUAUGGUCUUUUUUUGCUAUGUCACGCUGCUUUUAGGGUGUGUAUUUAUGGAAAUUGAUGAUUAAUGUACAAGUUAAAAGUUAUUGGAAUAAAGGAACAAGGCUUUGCA